GGCCAUUGGGAGCCCUGCUCAACCUCCGCCUCCUGGGUUCAGGCAAUUCUCCUGCCUCAGCCUCCUGAGUAGCUGGGAUUACAGGCACGCGCCACCAUGCCCGGCUAAUUUUUUGUAUUUUUAGUAGAGACGGGGUUUCACCAUGUUGACCAGGAUGGUCCCGAUCUCUUGACCUCGUGAUCCACCCGCCUCGGCCUCCCAAAGCGCUCGGAUUACAGGCUUGAGCCACCGCGCCCGGCCCGGUACUUUGGGUUUUUAAAGACUUCGUGGGAUACUAAUCCCUAGGCAUCACCUUCACUCCACCUUAGUCCUUCUCAGCACACUCUCAGAAGUUGGAACAUCGUUAUCCUUUUUUUGAGAAUGCGAAAGUACAAAGAGCAGUAGACUUCAACAGCCGUGAGUGCCAAGAAUAAUACAGAAAAAGAAGACAGCUGGUGAAGGAGUUUAUAGAGUUCUGAUCUUAAGAUGGUAAGAAUGUAAAAAGACCUUGCUGGUUUUUGGGGGAUGUUCACUUCUUAAACAAUCCAAAUCUAAGCUUAGAAGAAAAGUUUAGCAGUAAGCACCUUUAUCUUCAGCUUGCUCUUGCCAAGAGAAGAGUGCUUGAGUUACAGAAAGUGUAAUUAUUGUGAAGAAUACAGCAGCCUUUUUGUCAACUUUCCAGAUAUCAAAAUGGACUUUGAUAUAUAAAUGGUUUUCUGAGAUGACACUGCCUCUAUUUCUAUAACCAUUUCACCUGGACUAUCUAAUCAGUCCUAUGAAUGUGUCCCUAAAUGUGGUUAUUGAAAACCGAAUAGCUGCCUCAUGACAAGUACAUGUUAUUUAAGGAGGAAAAAAUAUUAAAUUUUGAAUUGUGUAGGCUCCCUAUCAAUAUAUAUAGAGUUUCUUUUUUCCACACUAGUCAGUGACUUAAACAAUUAACCUUUUAUAAACAUAUAAAAGGUUAAUUGUUCUAUAUCAAACUUAUAUUAAAUAAUUCCAUCCACUUAUGGAGGAGAAGGAGAAAAAUGUGGAAGAGGUAAAAAGCCGGGCAAACUUCAUAUGCCUAUGAGUUAGUAAAGAUCGAACUAAUGUCCCAUGUUGAGCUGAUUAUUUUGAUAUAUGAUAAUAAUUAUCUUUGAAGUAGAACAAUUCUGUUAACUAGAAAAUCACAGGAUAUAUCCAUCAUAUUUUUCAGGACAAAUAGUUUUUACUGUGGGGCAAAUAGGUUAAAAUUACACUUUAUGGUAUUUGCAUUUAGGUUUUAAAGCAAAGAAUCUGUAGAGAAAUCUAUGCAAUAUAUAGUUUGUCCAGAUUAGUUUUCAUUUGGGAGAAGUUCUGAAAUAUCUCUAAAGCAGUUUGUUUACUCAUCAACUGAAAAGUCCUCCAAAAAGAGAACUAUUGGGAAACCAUGGUGUGUGGUGGUGGAAAAGAAAAGCUCCCCCAGUUUUUUGGAGGGAAUAACUUUAAAAAAAAACUUAAAUGGCUAAGUUUGCUUGGUGCAGUUAAGAAUUAAACUUGUCAAUUUUAACAUUGCCGUUACAUUUGAAAUAAACUUAUGUGUUGUUCUGUUAAAAAAAAA